ensembl:lncRNA
UCUGUCAUGCAAGUCUUUGUGUUUUGUUUCAUUGUAAUUAUCUACUUUCCUCUUUUUCUUUCAUGCUUAAGUUCUGAUCAAUUCUGAGUAGUUGCUUUUGAUUUGUAAUACUUUUUUUUCUUUAUUUUUCCUUUUCUUUUCCAGAAAGAAAUAAUCCCAGAACCCAGAAUUUCUUUUUAUGUUUUCUACAUCACAGAAUCAAAAAGACCUUUGCUUUGAGCAGGUCUUGAGCAACGCUUGUCAACAAAUGGCCUGUACCACUAGGGUUUCCCGGCAGAAGUCACCUUUAUUGAAUGAGUCCUUUGUAAGCAGAGAAAGUGACACUGGCUAUGUGAUUUCCUCUUUUUUCACUCCUGCAUAUACCCACUCACAGAUGGAUAAUUCAUAAGAGUGUCAAUCCAAGUGGAGAGCAGAACUGGAGCAGUUUGGACACCGUGCAGAUAUAUAUAACACAGACUGGGAGGCUUUUGUAAACCUCAGGAAGAUUCAGUUUUAGAUUACAAUUUUCAAGCUGAUUUUUUGAAACAUACUUCUAACGAUAAGAGAUCAGAAAUGCUACAAGAACAUCAACACUGAAGUGCUGUCAUAUUUUGUUUUAUCAAGAGGUUGCCUUCGAAAAAGCCAUUACAGAUAAUAUCUAUUUAAUCUUGGGGAACCUGACAUAUUCUCUCUAGGGUUUGCCUGAUCUCAUUUAGUUAGUCAGGUCCUGGCUAGUUAUAAGACCACAGCAGUGCUUAAGUAAAAAAUCACGAAGGAGUAUGAACAAAUUUCAAGAACAAAUUUCAAUUUCAGAACAAAUUUCACAUGCAAGGAGAUCAUUGUUCAUGAAGUACAGCCUAUCUUCUUGAACACACAGUAGGAGGAGACGCAUCUGUUUGCCGGGGUCUCUUUGUGGCUGUUAAUUUAUUUUAGUCUGAUAUGCUAUUCCCCAUCAUUUCAUGCUAAGGGAGUCUUUUCAAUGUCUAAGGACACUUCAAGAACAUUUUGUUUCUGUAUAUCUCUUUUUCUGCCUGAACAUGUUGCCCUGUACCUCUUUCUUUUCACAGCAUUUUGAGCAAGUAAGGAUUGCAGAUUCCUUUGAGGCAGUUCCUCUCCCUGUCUAGAUGACCAGAUGAUGACUAAUUCUUGAGUUAUUUGCGUCAGUAUUUAUUUGAAGUUCAAUGCAUUGUUAUAUUUAUGCAAUAGCAGUAGGCAUCAGCUGGUGACAAAGUAUCAGAGUGCAUUAAAAAUGGAAAAAAAUAAUGGCAGGAAUUUCCAUGUCUAGAUUCACUGACAAUUCAAAAAAUUAAUAUAAUAUGUUUCAAUAUGAUAUAUCAGGAUCGCUCCUGUGCAGAGCAUCUUCUGGAUAAAGAAAAUACAAGAGCUAAAACUGCACUUAUCUCUGAAUUGAGUUGAUUGUCUUUACAUAAUCUUUAAUGUUGGUUUCUUCUGCAAGAGUGGUUUAGCAUGAUCUCAGCAGACGUGUCAAUUUCUUGUGAGGUAAACUAUUUUUAACAAAUAUUUAUUCCAAAUGUAUUUUAAUUACUGCAAAUGCAGGAAAAGAACAAAUCAGGAAUGGUUUCUGCAUCUUACCUGAAAGUAAGCAAUACAUCCUUAUAGAUGGACUUGAACUGAAGCCAGUAAGGCAUGACCAAGACUGUCAGCUUGGUCUAAAGAAGUGACGUUAGCAUUCUGAGAGCAAACAUGUAAAAUAAGAGUGUACGUCACAUGUGCUUCUGAGCAGAAGAAUCUAGUUGCACUUUUUGAAGAGCUUCUCUACUUCUGUGUAAGAAGAUGAUCUGGAGUGGUGAGAAAUGAAACCAGGCAACAACAAGGACUGAUCGAACACCAGUCUGCCUAUGCUGGAGAACAGUAAUUGUAUCUUCAUUAUUGCAUCUAUGGUUCAUUCCUUAUCUCCCUCUUGGUCCUCAAUGUGGUCACACUAAAUUGAAAACUCCUAAGAUUUUGAAUAAAAAUAGCAGAUUAAAAUUUCCA